GAUGAACGCUGGCGGCGUGCUUAACACAUGCAAGUCGAACGGAAAGGCCCUGCUUUUGUGGUGUGCUCGAGUGGCGAACGGGUGAGUAACACGUGAGUAACCUGCCCUUGACUUUCGUGUAACUUCAGGAAAGUGGGGCUAAUACCGCAUCGGAUCUUCUGCUGCAUGGUGGGGGUUGGAAAGUUUCCGCUGUUGGGGAUGGACUCGCGGCUUAUCAGAUUGUUGGUGGGGUAGUGGCUUACCAAGGCUAUGACCGGUAGCCGGCCUGAGAGGGUGGACGGCCACAUUACGACUGAGAUACGGCCCAGACUCGAACGGGAGGCAACGGUGGGGAAUAGUGUACAAUGGGAGGGAGCCUGAUGCAACGACGCCGCGUGCGGGAAGACGGCCUGCGGGUUGUAAACCGCUUUCGCCUGAGACGAAGCGUGAGUGACGGUAAUGGGUAAAGAAGCACCGGCUAACUACGUG
rnacentral:rRNA from 1 species